CAAAGUCGCUCAGAGGGCGGUGACAAAGCAAACUUACAUCUGCGACUCCUUGCUUUCCCCCAAGGCUGUGCUCUGUGAAGCUCGGGCCCUGCAGGAUUUGCCUGGCUCUCAUUGAAACAUAAUAGGAUACAGUGGCCUUCUGAGAAGCUCAGCUGAUUACCUCAUGAAAAUAGAAGUUGGAGAAGUUGAGAUGUUGGAUACAAAAGGCAACAAAUUACAUCACAAAAUGAUUCUGGAAUCCGUACAACUGACUACUCUCCUGCACAUGGGCAAAUCCUUUUUCCUCUCAACCAAUCAAGUUAAUCCUACUUCCCAGGCCAGUGACUAGUUUACAAACGGGCAGAUGGCAUAAUUCUAACCAAUGAGACACAAUGUCCCAGGGUGGUCGUGGUGCUCAGAAAAGAUGUGCAUUGGAAGAAAGUUAUUUCUGUUCUUCUUCUAAUGAGGCUGUUUCUACAUGUACACCUCCUGUAAUAGCCCAGCCAUCUUGGCACUGUGAAGGGAGCUGGAAGAAAGAUGGAAACAACAGUGACAAUGUUGAGUUGAAGAAUUAAUGAAGUCUAAAGUUUCUACCUCUGGACUCAUUAUAGGAAAUAAAUUUUCCUUAUUGUUUAAGCCA